UAGCCUUACUAUCAUGCUGUUUCUCAUUUUACACAUGCAAGUCUCAGCACCCCAGUGAGAACGCCCUUUUAACCUACACCAGGAGAAGGAGCUGGCAUCAGGCACAAUCCCUGCCCAUAACACCUAGUCUCACCACACCCCCAAGGGUAAUCAGCAGUGAUAAAUCUUAAAUAUAAGCGACAGCUUGAUUUAGUUAGAGAAAAGAGGGCCGGCUAACCCGGUGCCAGCCGCCGCGGCUACACCGUGGGGCCCGAGCUGAUAGUCACCGGCGUUAAGCGUGAUUAAAGCCCUCAACAAUUAGGGUUAAAUUAAUAUUUAGUAGUGAUAAGCUUGUUAUUAAGAAAACCAUAAACGAAAGUUACCCUAAUUACACUUGAAUCCACGACAACUGGGAAAACAAACUGGGAUUAGAUACACCACUA
rnacentral:rRNA from 1 species